CACUCUCUGAAGGAUAAGUCUGCAGGCUGAACAGAGGCAUCCUGUGGCCAGAAAAAAAGCUAUGCUGAGGUGGGGGAUAUCAGGCCACCCUGGGCACUUAGAGUAGGAAGACGGAAUGAGUAGCCAGGGUCAGGAGAGAAAAGAAGACAUCUGGCAUCCAGGGAUGGCCAGAGGCUCUGGACAGUCCCGGAGCAGGGGGGAUGGGGAACCUCUGCCAUUCCGGCUUCAUCAGGAUGACCGGUGUGGGCUCUGCCCCUCCCCGCUGCCGCCUGGAGUCUGGGAAAGCUGACUGACUGCUCCCCCCAGAGCUAGACCUGCAGGACCUAUGUGCGGAGGAGGCCGAGAGCGAGGAGCUGGAAGAGUUGUGGACCAGCACCUGCGUCUUCAUCACCCUGUUCCUGCUCAGCGUGAGCUAUGGGGCCACUGUCACCCUCCUCAAGGUGAAGUGGGUCUUCUCCACACCGAUGCAGGGCACGCCCCAGACCCUCCAUGACUAUGCCAACAUCCUCCUCGCCAGGGCAUAGGCACAACGCCAGCUCCCAUGCAUGUGUGUCUGAGGCUUCUGCUCUGCCCUGGGUGGUAGGAGGGGGCAGAACCCCCUCCCCAGAAGGACCAGAUUCGGGAACCAACAACCGAUAUAUCAGCAGCCAGUUCCAGAUCAAGGCACCGGUGUGGACUGUCCUACACACAGAUACUUUGAGACAAGCUUUGCAAGAGCAUGUGUCCCUCAUCAGUUUGACCUGAGUUUUAGGGUAGAUGCUGACCACCUGGGUUCAUCCCAUACCCACAGGCACCAGGGUCACUCCGUUUUGACAGAAUAACCAUAAAAACACAAGGUUUCAGGACCUAAGGUCCCUACUAGCCCCUCCACCCCAUCCCCAGAGCCCAGAGUCAAAACUGGGGCAUCAGAAUCGACCCAGAACAAGUCCAAGCCCUGGAGCCCCAGAAGUUAUCCUGCCCCACUGCCCCCAGACAUACCCCAGCUUUUCCCUGCAGCCAGCCCUCUGUCCCUGAAAAAUAAACAGACAGACAGACAUUCAGGAUGAGUUCACAAAACUAAAAAGAGUGCUUCAGACCUCUGGGCUAGAAAGAGAGUCCUACUGAAAGAAAUGGACUCUCCCUGGGCGGCAGCAGAGCCUAGCCCUGAGGCUUCACUGACUCCAAGCCUCAGCCAGUGGUCCCACUCCGUCUCUGGGUUCCUCAGUAAAGCUCGUCCCCAUAACUCCUGAGAACACUUUGAGGAGGUGUUUGAGGCCACCGUUGGGGUGAUGGGUACCAAGAACACAGACAAGGACCAGAGGGUGAGGAGCAUGGGGAGCAAGCAGCCAUCUCAGUGGGGUCCUCUUCAAAACCCAGUCCACCACUCCUGCUGGCCCCCAGUCCGGUCUCACUUCCUGCUUCUUAAGCUGAAGUGAAGGGCAAAGCCUGGGGGGCUAACGGUGGAAUCAGAGCUGGACCCCCUGGGAACCCGGGUGCAGGUCACUCUCCAAGGCAGCAAUCUGUCUGCCCACUAAGUGCAGGCAGACAGGCCAGUCCCUGAAUCCUGGAGGGACUGAGUGAGGACACGCAGGUGUGCCAAUGCCAUCCAAACCUAGUAUUACCAUCCUUGGGACAUGAACUCACGUUACAAAAGACAGGAUUCUCUCAUAUGCGAUGAUGACUCCUGAACCAAUAAAAAGAAAGAAGUCUUCAUGGGAACAAAAA